rnacentral:rRNA from 1 species
UACGAAGGGGGCUAGCGUUGUUCGGAUUUACUGGGCGUAAAGCGCACGUAGGCGGAUCGUUAAGUCAGGGGUGAAAUCCUGGAGCUCAACUCCAGAACUGCCUUUGAUACUGGGGAUCUCGAGUCCGGAAGAGGUGAGUGGAACUCCGAGUGUAGAGGUGAAAUUCGUAGAUAUUCGGAAGAACACCAGUGGCGAAGGCGGCUCACUGGUCCGGUACUGACGCUGAGGUGCGAAAGCGUGGGGAGCAAACAGG